GAUGAACGCUGGCGGCGUGCCUAAUACAUGCAAGUCGAGCGAACAGACGAGGAGCUUGCUCCUCUGACGUUAGCGGCGGACGGGUGAGUAACACGUGGAUAACCUACCUAUAAGACUGGGAGAACUUCGGGAAACCGGAGCUAAUACCGGAUAAUAUAUUGAACCGCAUGGUUCAAUAGUGAAAGACGGUUUUGCUGUCACUUAUAGAUGGAUCCGCGUCGCAUUAGCUAGUUGGUAAGGUAACGGCUCACCAAGGCGACGAUGCGUAGCCGACCUGAGAGGAUGAUCAGCCACACUGGAACUGAGACACGGUCCAGACUCCUACGGGAGGCAGCAGUGGGGAAUAUUGGACAAUGGGCGCAAGCCUGAUCCAGCCAUACCGCGUGGGUGAAGAAGGCCUUCGGGUUGUAAAGCCCUUUUGUUGGGAAAGAAAAGCAGCAGGUUAAUCCCCCGCUGUUCUGACGGUACCCAAAGAAUAAGCACCGGCUAACUUCGUG
rnacentral:rRNA from 1 species